CCUACGGGUGGCAGCAGUGAGGAAUAUUGGUCAAUGGACGCAAGUCUGAACCAGCCAAGCCGCGUGCAGGAUGACUGCCCUAUGGGUUGUAAACUUCUUUUAUACGGGAGUAAACGCAGAUACGUGUAUCUUUUUGAAAGUAUUGUAUGAAUAAGGAUCGGCUAACUCCGUGCCAGCAGCCGCGGUAAUACGGAGGAUUCGAGCGUUAUCCGGAUUUAUUGGGUUUAAAGGGUGCGUAGACGGGUUGAUAAGUCAGUUGUGAAAGUUUGCGGCUCAACCGCAAAAUUGCCAUUGAUACUGGCAGUCUAGAGUACAGUUGAGGUAGGCGGAAUGCAUGGUGUAGCGGUGAAAUGCUUAGAGAUCACAAAGAACCCCGAUUGCGAAGGCAGCUUACUAAACUAUGACUGACAUUGAGGCACGAAAGCGUGGGGAUCAAACAGGAUUAGAUACCCGGGUAGUC
rnacentral:rRNA from 1 species